rnacentral:rRNA from 1 species
ACAAGAAGCUGCCCGUAAGUUAAACUUUCGAACAAGAAAAACCAUGAUGGUAGCACAGCAAUUAUAUGAAGGAAUCACUUUGGGUAAACAAGGAACAGUCGGCUUGAUUACAUACAUGCGUACUGAUUCUACCCGGAUUGCCGAUACAGCAAAAGCAGAGGCCGCAGCAUUUAUUGAAGAUACGUAUGGAAAAGAAUUUUCUAGACAUGAUCACCGAAAGAUCAAAAAUGCUCAAGGCGCACAAGAUGCCCAUGAAGCUGUGCGUCCAACGAGUGUGCUUCGUACACCAGAUGAACUCAAACAAUAUUUAGAUAAAGAUCAAUUGAAACUUUAUACAU